CAGUAGCCGCGGGAAUACGUAGGUGGCAAGCGUUGUCCGGAAUUAUUGGGCGUAAAGGGCUCGCAGGCGGUUUCUUAAGUCUGAUGUGAAAGCCCCCGGCUCAACCGGGGAGGGUCAUUGGAAACUGGGAAACUUGAGUGCAGAAGAGGAGAGUGGAAUUCCACGUGUAGUGGUGAAAUGCGUAGAGAUGUGGAGGAACACCAGUGGCGAAGGCGACUCUCUGGUCUGUAACUGACGCUGAGGUGCGAAAGCGUGGGGAGCGAACAGGAUUAGAUACCCCAGUAGUCCCUGUCUCUUAUAC
rnacentral:rRNA from 1 species